UUGCAAUCAAGACUGGCAGUUUGCAGGUGUAGAGUGUUUUGUUUGACUUGAACGGUGCAAUUUACUUAUUUAUUUUAGUUUAAAUGCCUUUAGAUGGAGCAAGCACUUGACAGUUAAUCAUAGUCUUGCACCUAACUGUUGCUUUGCUUGCAGUUUAUGAGAGAAGAGACUCACCUAUAUGAAAGGAUUGUGUCCCUUCAAUCCAAGGGAUGUUGAAGUCCAAAGAGGUGAACAAUGGAAAGACAUCAGCUGUGAGUCAGUGGGGAGUGUCUGAGGAUGGAGGCGCUAUGGCUCCCUGGAGAUCUCUUGGUGUGUCCACAUGCCGGGUGGGUCCACGGACAGGAGCUCUUCUGGUGCUUCCCUCACUCCCCACCCGACCCAUGCAGUACCCACCCUCUGCAGCUGGGCCCUCCAGCUGGCUCAGCUCAGCCCUGUUUCAUGUUUAGUCGGUCUUUGAUCUUCACUCUUUAACUAAAGCCAGAGCCAGGUGAAACCUGAUUUUAUCCUUUUCUCAAAUGUGAACUAAGCUCAAAAGAAAGAGAAGGCUGAUAUGGACCCACAUCUAAACUCACAUCUGAAAUAAAAACUUGAGUGGAUUUUCCUGUUGAUCUAGAAUUGGUCACUGGGGCUGAAAUUGAGGACAAAGAGAUGAUCACCAACCUUCUGAUCUGGCCCUAUGCUUGGAAGAGCAGGAGGAGAGACAAGGAGGGAGAGAGGGCAGCGUGAACACAGUGUGACCAGAGACAAGCCUGCGUGUCUGCAUUUCAGUGUUUUAAGAGGACAUGAAUUUUCCAUGGGUCCAGUGGACAAUGUGGAAGGUUUCUUUUCUGGGAGCUGCUAUCACUGAAUACAUAAAGAAAUUGAGCCUAUAUGAUUUCAAUCUUCACCUUCUGAUGCUGAUGAAACAGGAUUCUAUGCAGUUUACAGGGGGCCUGGAGGAAUGAAUCAGUGGCAGUGAGUGACAGAGUGGUCUCAGCAGGAAGAGGUGGAGGCAACGCUGGGAUUUGGAAAUGCCUCU
rnacentral:lncRNA from 1 species